rnacentral:rRNA from 1 species
AGCAGCCGCGGUAAUUCCAGCUCCAAUAGCGUAUAUUAAAGUUGUUGCAGUUAAAAAGCUCGUAGUUGAAUUUCGGGAUCAAUAUGUUGGUCGUGCCUCGGUACGUACUAGCUUAUUGGUUUCUCCUUUCUGAAGAACCAUGAUGUCAUUUAUUUGGUGUCGUGGGGAAUCAGGACUGUUACUUUGAAAAAUUAGAGUGUUUAAAGCAGGCUCACGCUUGAAUACAUUAGCAUGGAAUAAUGAAAUAGGACGUUUGAUUCUAUUUUGUUGGUUUCUAGGAUCGACGUAAUGAUUAAUAGGGAUAGUUGGGGGCAUUAGUAUUCAAUUGUCAGAGGUGAAAUUCUUGGAUUUAUUGAAGACUAACUACUGCGAAAGCAUUUGCCAAGGAUGUUUUCAUUAAUCAAGAACGAAAGUUAGGGGAUCGAAGACGAUCAGAUACCGUCGUAGUCUUAACCAUAAACUAUGCCGACUAG